rnacentral:lncRNA from 1 species
GGGCAGGCUACCGAAAAUGAACUACUAGCAGGAAAUGCCUACAUGUCGAAAUUUUCAAAGCAGCAAAACAAAAUCUACCAAAUAUAACUCCUGCAAGUUUUUCACAAUGAGAUUUUUUUACUACUGUGUACUUAUGUAAAGGAAGAUGAGUGCCAAUUACACAACUCUCCAUCCAAAUAACAAUUCUUAAAACCAUUAUAGGUCAAGUUAGGGCCCUCAACACGGAGCCAACCGGGAAAACCAAUAGUCUAAUCUAUAAAAAAAAACCACGAGAAACACGUAUAAAUUACAUAAACAAACUACAACUACUGUACAUCAGAUUCCUUUACCUUGCAGUAUAUUAAAACAACGUUUUAAGUUUC